rnacentral:rRNA from 1 species
AACGCUGGCGGCGUGCCUAAUACAUGCAAGUCGAACGGUCUUUCUAUGGAAGCUUGCUUCCACUGAGAAGAUAGUGGCGAACGGGUGAGUAACACGUGGGUAACCUGCCCAUAAGAGGGGGAUAACAUCCGGAAACGGGUGCUAAUACCGCAUAGUUUUCUUGAUCGCAUGAUCGGGAAAGGAAAGACGGCCUUUGUGCUGUCGCUUAUGGAUGGACCCGCGGCGUAUUAGUUAGUUGGUGAGGUAAUGGCUCACCAAGACGAUGAUACGUAGCCGACCUGAGAGGGUGAUCGGCCACAUUGGGACUGAGACACGGCCCAAACUCCUACGGGAGGCAGCAGUAGGGAAUCUUCCGCAAUGGACGAAAGUCUGACGGAGCAACGCCGCGUGAGUGAAGAAAAGGUUUUCGGAUCGUAAAACUCUGUUGUCAGAGAAGAACAAGUUGGAGAGUAACUGCUCCAGCCUUGACGGUAUCUGACCAGAAAGCCACGGCUAACUACGUGCCAGCCGCUGC